rnacentral:rRNA from 1 species
AGAGUUUGAUCCUGGCUCAGGAUGAACGCUGGCGGCGUGCCUAAUACAUGCAAGUCGAACGCACAGCGAAAGGUGCUUGCACCUUUCAAGUGAGUGGCGAACGGGUGAGUAACACGUGGAUAACCUACCUCAAGGUUGGGGAUAACAUUUGGAAACAGAUGCUAAUACCGAAUAAAACUUCGUAUCGCAUGAUACAAGGUUAAAAGGCGCUACGGCGUCACCUAGAGAUGGAUCCGCGGUGCAUUAGUUAGUUGGUGGGGUAAAGGCCUACCAAGACAAUGAUGCAUAGCCGAGUUGAGAGACUGAUCGGCCACAUUGGGACUGAGACACGGCCCAAACUCCUACGGGAGGCUGCAGUAGGGAAUCUUCCACAAUGGGCGAAAGCCUGAUGGAGCAACGCCGCGUGUGUGAUGAAGGCUUUCGGGUCGUAAAGCACUGUUGUAUGGGAAGAACAGCUAGAGUAGGGAAUGACUUUAGUUUGACGGUACCAUACCAGAAAGGGACGGCUAAAUACGUGCCAGCAGCUGCGGUAAUACGUAUGUCCCGAGCGUUAUCCGGAUUUAUUGGGCGUAAAGCGAGCGCAGACGGUUGAUUAAGUCUGAUGUGAAAGCCCGGAGCUCAACUCCGGAAAGGCAUUGGAAACUGGUCAACUUGAGUGCAGUAGAGGUAAGUGGAACUCCAUGUGUAGCGGUGGAAUGCGUAGCUAUAUGGAAGAACACCAGCGGCGAAGGCGGCUUACUGGACUGUAACUGACGUUGAGGCUCGAAGGUGUGGGUAGCAAACAGGAUUAGAUACCCUGGUAGUCCACACCGUAAACGAUG